rfam:Tupaia chinensis contig48704, whole genome shotgun sequence.
GCUCGCUUCGGCAGCUUACACUAAAACUGGACAAUACACAGAAGGUUAGUGUGGCCCCUGCACAAGGGCGACAUGCAAAUUCAGGAAGUCUUCCACAUUUUU